rnacentral:lncRNA from 1 species
UCCGGGGGUCCGGCAGCAAGUGACGGAACCCUAGUUCUUGUCGAAGGGCGUUGCUGGGAGUGACUGACGUGUUCAGGCAUGUCUCACCAGUACUCCCCCCUGAAGAGAGCAUGGCAAAACACCCGUGUAGCCUCAGUCUCCCCCCCCCCCGAGCAAGAUAGUACGUGUGGUCCAUAUCAAAUGGACUGAUUCUCCAUCGGAAUCUAGUCAUUGUGCCCACAGCGACACUAAUGACUCCGCGUGGUCCAUGCAUUAUCAGAUGGACUGAUUCAUUAUCAGAAUCUAGUUCCAGGCCAACGGAACUACAUGUUUAUAGUCUUACUCUGAUCAAGAGCGACUUUUGCUGUGUGGAUCUUUGCCGAAGCAACAGAUCGCGUGGAUUCACUGUUGGAAUCUGAUUCUGGCCGAAGCAACAGAAUGCGUGGAUUCGUUAUCCGAAUCGGGUUCUGGCCGAAGCGCAGAUCGAGUGGAUUCACCAUUGGAAUCUGAUUCUGGCCGAAGCAACAGAAUGCGUGGAUUCGUUAUCCGAAUCGGGUUCUGGCCGAAGCUCAGAUCGAGUGGAUUCACCAUUGGAAUCUGAUUCUGGCCGAAGCAACAGAAUGCGUGGAUUCAUUAUCCGAAUCGGGUGUUUAUAGUCUACCCUGAUCAAGGGCGACUUUUUGUCCGCAACGACGGUUACCCCAUAGGCCGAAGCGCAAGAUGGGUCGAGAUCAUUAAGGUCAAAUGACCAAAAUGAUCUCCAAAUGUUUGAAGAACCAUUGAAGCCAAAGCGACAACAUAGUUCUUGGUUUGAUUCUGGCCGAAGCAACAGAAUGCGUGGAUUCUGGCCGAAGCAACA